GCCCAGACUCCUACGGGAGGCAGCAGUGGGGAAUAUUGCACAAUGGGGGAAACCCUGAUGCAGCGACACCGCGUGGGUGAGGAAGCGCUUCGGCGUGUAAAGCCCUAUCAGUGGGGAAGAAAAAGGACGGUACCCAAAGAAGAAGCACCGGCUAAAUACGUGCCAGCAGCCGCGGUAAUACGUAGGGGGCAAGCGUUAUCCGGAUUUACUGGGUGUAAAGGGAGCGUAGACGGCAUGGCAAGUCAGAUGUGAAAGCCCGGGGCUCAACCCCGGGACUGCAUUUGAAACUGUCAGGCUGGAGUGCAGGAGAGGUAAGUGGAAUUCCUAGUGUAGCGAUGAAAUGCGUAGAUAUUAGGAGGAACACCAGUGGCGAAGGCGGCUUACUGGACUGUAACUGACGUUGAGGCUCGAAAGCGUGGGGAGCAAACAGGAUUAGAUACCCCCGUAGUA
rnacentral:rRNA from 1 species